rnacentral:rRNA from 1 species
GUCUUCCUUAGUACGAGAGGACCGGGAAGAGGGAACCUCCAGUGUACGGGUUAUCCUGCCAAGGGUAAACGCCCGGUAGCUGUGUUCCAAGCGGAUAAGCGCUGAAAGCAUAUAAGUGCGAAGCCCACCACAAGAUGAGAUCUCUCAUAGCACAAGCUAGUAAGUCCCCUCGCAGAUCACGAGGUUGAUAGGAUGCAGAUAGAAGUUUGGCAACAAAUGCAGUCGAGCAUUACUAAUCGGACGAGGGCUUUUCCUG